GGGAACAACCCUAGCAGACUGUACCAACAUGCCCCCUGCAGAUACAACAUUUUUGAUUUUUAAGCUCUUGGUGGGAAGAAGGAAUUAAAUGCGCACUUAACUGGAGACUGUUUAUUAAAGUAUAAUGAGGUGGGACCCCCCCUUUGUUUGCUUGGCCCCUUCCGCUUUCCAUGAGGAAAUGACCAGACAGACAGCACAGCUUUGGGAGGAUGCAAACAGGAUUAUGGUAAGUACAGAGAAGACAAGAGCCUUUUAUCUGAAUAAAAGUUAUCUGUAAUGCCUGUAUUCAACCAACAGGAAGCCC